UUUAAUUAUUCUAUUUGACACUCCAAAAUAUUAUCUAAAGUUUUUUUGAUUCACUUAUUUAUUUUUAUUUAUAACAAAAUAUAUAGAUCAUUUUGUAAUCAUAUUUUUUACUAUUUUUAUUUUUAUUGAUAUUUUUAUUUUGUGUUGAUAUCCUAAUACAUAAAUCAAAAGAUGACCUACAGGUUAUCAUUUUUUCAAAUUUAUUUUCUUUUUUAAUUUUUUUAUUUAUAUUUAUUUUACUCAAGCCCCCUUUGAUUUUCUUAGCACCUAAAGAUCUCAUCUGGUUUUAGAUCUAGUCAUUUUUCGCCGCCCCUGCAGUUGCAUAACCCCAGUGCGCUAUAAUCAAAUGGAUACGACCACCCAAAAUUGCAAUUAUGGUCAAUAACCCCAAAUUGGGAGCUCGUUCAAAUGGCAGUCGGCCGUUUCACAACCGAAUCGCUGGGAAUUAAAAUUAAUGCCGGGCACGUCGAUCCAGCGAUCACCUGCUGAUAUUGUGCGGCUUCUCUUUCGCCCAAUUUCUUCGUGUUUCGUUUUUAUUCCUUGUAUUACUAUUUUAUUUGCAUUGUGGCUGACUUUUACCCAACGGAAGUGAUGUCUGGCUCUUAGCCAGUGUCAAAUGCAAAUGGAUCGAUCGAAAUCGAAGCGGCCUAUCGAGGGGGCCUAUCGCGCAGGGCGGACCUUCGAUCGAAAUGCAACGCGACUAGAAAUCGAUCGAUUAACUAUUUGCCAUCUUUUUUUCUUUUUCUCUUCCUAUUAUUUUAUUUAUUUUGCCCAAGACCGAGUGUCGCAUUAAACUUGAAACUACAAAUGGAUUUGGCAAGCGUCCCGCCAUGACGGACACAAAGCGCAGCGAUCGAAAUCGGCGAAUUAGCGCCGUCUCAUGAUGGAAUGUAAUUUUUGUCUAAUUAUCGUCCGCCUGGAAGCUGGUCGUAAUAACAAUUCAACUCCAAGUCGAAGUCGGAGCCCGGAGUCAGAGUUGCCUAAUUGUGGCAUUUAGGCAUUUGCCCUCGAACAGUCUGCGCGUUAAUUGCCUUUGGUCGGCGGUCGUCUAAGUGAAUUAUUAACCCGGAUUCAGUGUAAAAACCUCCCUGCUUUUAUUAUGAUGACACUCGAACAUGAAAGUCUCGAACCUUUUGUCUCUGGCAAAUUGAUUUUUGCGGACAGCCAGUUUAGAUGGAGAUUAUUAAAGGUACUCACUCUUGACGGCCCACAUCUUGGCAUCGCUGAGGCCGCCGAGGUAGCUG